GCUUAGCUCAGUUGGUAGAGCGUCUGACUGUUAAUCAGAAUGUCGUUGGUUCGAGUCCGACA
rnacentral:tRNA from 1 species